AUUGAACGCUGGCGGCAUGCUUUACACAUGCAAGUCGAGCGGCAGCGCGGGGGGCAACCUUGGCGGCGAGCGGCGAACGGGUGAGUAACGCAUCGGAACGUAUCCUGUAGUGGGGAAUAACUCACCGAAAGGUGAGCUAAUACCGCAUAAGCUCUGAGGAGGAAAGCGGGGGGACCGAAAGGCCUCGCGCUGCAGGAGCGGCCGAUGUCCGAUUAGCUAGUCGGUGAGGUAAAGGCUCACCAAGGCGACGAUCGGUAGCUGGUCUGAGAGGAUGAUCAGCCACACUGGGACUGAGACACGGCCCAGACUCCUACGGGAGGCAGCAGUGGGGAAUUUUGGACAAUGGGGGAAACCCUGAUCCAGCCAUGCCGCGUGAGUGAAGAAGGCCUGG
rnacentral:rRNA from 1 species